CAGGGAGACAAAAUAAGAUCAUGAUGUCUGAGUUUUUUCUACUCUUAGGCCAUGAUCCUGUCACCUUAGGUCGAUCGGUACCUCAAUUUAAGAGUCAAAUAAAGGCUGAAUUUCAGUUUUAGAUUUGAUAAUUAACUUCAGUUCCUAAACUUUGUCUAGGUCACACCCAGCAAGGGUACUCCUGGGCCAUUAGCUCAGGUGGUUAGAGCGCACCCCUGAUAAGGGUGAGGUCCCUGGUUCAAGUCCAGGAUGGCCCAUUCGGUGUUGGGGGUAUAGCUCAGUUGGUAGAGCGCCUGCUUUGCAAGCAGGAUGUCAGCGGUUCGAGUCCGCUUACCUCCACUGAUCAACCUCUUAAUAACGAAAUCAAAGGAGAUUUUCGUUGCUGAUGUGAUUUAGAUUUCUAUUUGAAUGAACCUAGCUUCCUAUCAUCCUUUAAUCUGAAUAUUAAUUAGAUUUGGUCGAUAGGACGCUGGGCUCACUGCAGUUCUUUUGAAUUGCAAUGAUGUUCAGUAGAACCUUGACAACUGCAUAGGUGAGUUUGGAAAGAAUAAAGCAUCUCAUGGAUGCAUUAUUUCUUUUUGAUUAAUGAAAACACUUGCUAUCAAAGCAUUUUUUGCUUUAAUCAAUAGAAUAAUGUUUAAUUCUUGAGCAAGAGCCGAGACUCUAUAGAGUUCUGUUAUUGAUUUGUUCACUAACAGUUAGAUCAUUAAUUAGACACCUAUUUAAUUAAUGAGAAAGUGCUAACGAAAGCACUUGCUCUAUGGAGGAUUAUUU
rnacentral:tRNA from 1 species